ACCCUCGGUCUUAUUGAAAUGACGGGUUGAAAACGAGCUUAGCCUUGUUCAUUUUUUUCCACAACUCUCGACCUGCAAACUUCAUCGUGCACUUUUCAUACAGUUGCAAAGUGCCUUAAUUGCCUGUCACGCGCGCCCCGAUAUGCAGCAAAAGAGGCUUAACAGCGCCCUUUCAGGGCAA
rnacentral:sRNA from 1 species